rnacentral:siRNA from 1 species
UGCAAAACCACCGGUUGCAACACC